rnacentral:rRNA from 1 species
ACGCAGACCCUGACCUACCCAUGUCAUGUGAGGUAUCCGGAAGGGAUUUUGCCUUGGGGACAAGAGAACCAGAGGUGGGGCAUGGUUGUCCUGUUGUCGUGUCGUGAGAUGAGGGGUUAAGUCCAGCCACGAGCACAACCCUUCCUUUGUCUUUCCAUCAUUAGGUUGGGCACUUUAAGGAGACUGCCGGUGACAAACCGGAGGAAGGUGGGGAUGACGUCAAAUCCUCAUGGCCCUUAUGGCUAGGGCUACACACGUGCUACAAUGGUCGGUACAAAGGGGAGCCAACCCGCGAGGGGGAGCCAAUCUCAAAAAACCGAUCGCAGUCCGGAUUGCAGUCUGCAACUCGAUGCAUGAAGUCGGAAUCGCUAGUAAUCGCGAUCAGCCGUCGCGAUCCUAG